AUUGCACGCUGGCGGCAUGCCUAACACAUGCAAGUCGAACGAGUGGCGGACGGGUGAGUAAUGUCUGGGAAACUGCCCGAUGGAGGGGGAUAACUACUGGAAACGGUAGCUAAUACCGCAUACCAUCGGAUGUGCCCAAAUGGGUUUAGCUAGUAGUUGGGGUAACGGUUCACCUAGGCGACGAUCCCUAGCUGGUCUGAGAGGAUGACAUGCCACACGGGAACUGAGACACGGUCCAUACUCCUGCGGGCGGCAGCAGUGGGGAAUAUUGCACAAUGGGCGCAAGCCUGAUGCAGCCAUGCCGCGUGUAUGAAUAAGGCCUUCGGGUUGGAAAGUACUUUCAGCGAGGAGGCGUUACUCGCAGAAGAAGCACCGGCUAACUCCGUGCCAGCAGCCGCGGUAAUAC
rnacentral:rRNA from 1 species